rnacentral:rRNA from 1 species
UGGCGGGGAAUUACCAUUGCAAAAAUCCGGAGGCGAACCUGGCAUUCCAGAAGGAGUGGGGUAAAUAAGGAAAGUUCACCGGGGACGGGUGAAUAACACGUGGGGUAAUCCUGGCCCCAUACAGAUUGGGAUAAGCUCCGUGAAACCGGGGGAUAAUACCCGGGAUAACAUUUAAGACCCCGCAUGGCUUCGCCAAUUGAAAGGCGGCUUCGGCUGUCACUUAUGGAUGGACACGCGUCCACAUUAGAAUAGUUGGUGAGGUAUCGGCUCACCCAAGGCAACCGCAUGUGUAGACGACCCUGCAGAGGGUGAUCGGCCCACACUGGGACUGAGACACGGACCAGACUCGUACGGGAGGCAGCAGUAGGGAAUCUUCCGCAAUGGACGAAAGUCUGACGGAGCAACGCCGCGUGAGUGAUGAAGGCUUUCGGGUCGUAAAACUCUGUUGUUAGGGAAGAACAAGUGCUAGUUGAAUAAGCUGGCACCUUGACGGUACCUAACCAGAAAGCCACGGCUAACUACGUGCCAGCAGCCGCGGUAAUACGUAGGUGGCAAGCGUUAUCCGGAAUUAUUGGGCGUAAAGCGCGCGCAGGUGGUUUCUUAAGUCUGAUGUGAAAGCCCACGGCUCAACCGUGGAGGGUCAUUGGAAACUGGGAGACUUGAGUGCAGAAGAGGAAAGUGGAAUUCCAUGUGUAGCGGUGAACAUGCGUAGGAGAUAUGGAGGAACACCAGUGGCGAAGGCGACUUUCUGGUCUGUAACUGACACUGAGGCGCGAAAGCGUGGGGAGCAAACAGGAUUAGAUACCCUGGUAGUCCACGCCGUAAACGAUGAGUGCUAAGUGUUAGAGGGUUUCCGCCCUUUAGUGCUGAAGUUAACGCAUUAAGCACUCCGCCUGGGAGUCGCCCCGCC